UAAGACUGGGAUACCUUCGGGAAACCGAAGCUAAUACCGGAUAGGAUCUUCUCCUUCAUGGGAGAUGAUUGAAAGAUGGUUUCGGCUAUCACUUACAGAUGGGCCCGCGGUGCAUUAGCUAGUUGGUGAGGUAACGGCUCACCAAGGCAACGAUGCAUAGCCGACCUGAGAGGGUGAUCGGCCACACUGGGACUGAGACACGGCCCAGACUCCUACGGGAGGCAGCAGUAGGGAAUCUUCCGCAAUGGACGAAAGUCUGACGGAGCAACGCCGCGUGAGUGAUGAAGGCUUUCGGGUCUGUAAAGCUCUGUUGUUAGGGAAGAAC
rnacentral:rRNA from 1 species